AGCUCUGGGCUGUGUGUGGUCUUUUAAAUACAAAAUGUGCGCCUAAAAAAUGGAAGGGUAUUUUUUUUUUUUCCCCAAGUGGUCUGGAAAGGAGCAGCUUGUCCUUGGACCUGUUUGCAGAAGCUGGAGUUCAGCAGCUGUCUUUUGCUUGGCUUCUCCCCACCUCCAGGACUGAUGAUAUCCUGAAAGGCAGGAGGGGAACGAGGUUCAGAAGGGCUGGGACGCUGCUGAAAAUUGGGCACCAGAUUCUGGAAGCGGAGCAAGUCCUUGUCUACUGGACUUCACUCACAAGUACCCUGUAGAAAAAUUUUAUCAAGAGCAACCUGCAAGGCAAGAUGUUGUGAGAUUGGGCUGAAAUCAUGUGCGAGGUGAGUCUGCAGAAUUGGUUGGUGAUUCUGAUAACUCUGGUGUUUUGAUUUAAGGCUUUAGCUUAAGCCAGCAACAGGAUAUUCUGUGUGUAUUUGUAUCUGCAUAUCACCAUUGUAUUUUUAGUGCCCACAAACUCACACACACAAUUAGACAGAGCAAGCUGUCACUGUCUGUGGGUUUGCAUUCAGGAAACAGAUGUGUCUGUAUCUUGCAGUGUCCUCAGAUCUCUUGAAGAGAUGAACCGCAAAAAUCGAGAACAGCAAUUACUUAAAAAGUGAAUCUCCAAUAGUCCCCUAAAAAAGCAUGAGCGAAUGGUAGACAUUUACUCCAAAAUCCUUCUACAUGGUAGUUUUUGAUCUGCAGUGUAAGAAUUGCACCUGCUUAUGAUAACAGAGAAUUCUGACAUUUUUAUGGGUGUCCAAUAUAACUAAUAAGUGAACAUCAGCCAUUUUCUUCUGUGAAGUCCUUGAAAUGGUGGGACCCAUGCAGCACCACAGUGCCUUUGGGUUAGAUAGCUCCUUCAUGGAACAGAAUUGAUAAAGCUCUGGUUAGCUUACUGGAGGGUAUGGUAAAAGCCUUUCGUGGGUGACUGGCCUUUUAAAUUCCUAAAAAAACCCCAAUUGUUUCCAAAACACACCUAGCCAUCACUGAGACACUUAUUCAUGCAUAGCCACUUAUUUGCUUACACAGGAGAGGUAAACUAAACCCUCUUUUUCGAGCUCUCUUUCCCUGGCAGACUGUUGGGGUACAGAUAUGGCAGGAUGUAUAUUUGAGUCAUCCACAGUUUUGGGUUUAAUU
rnacentral:lncRNA from 1 species